AAGUCGUAACAAGGUUUCCGUAGGUGAACCUGCGGAAGGAUCAUUAAAGAAUAUCCGAGCUUCACAGCUCUUCAUUCUCAUCCCUUUGUAUAUCAAACUUUGGUUGCUUUCGGCAGCGCCUUUAGGGGCCCUGCCAGAGGACCGAAACCCUAGAAUCUCUGCCGUCUGAGUACUAUAUAAUAGUUAAAA
rnacentral:misc_RNA from 1 species